CUUGCACACUCAAUAAGAGGUCCAGCCUGCCCAGUGACCCUGUUCAACGGCCGCGGUAUCCUAACCGUGCGAAGGUAGCGUAAUCACUUGUUCUUUAAAUGAGGACUAGUAUGAAUGGCAUCACGAAGGUUAUACUGUCUCCUCUCUCUAAUCAGUGAAACUAAUCUCCCCGUGAAGAAGCGGGGAUGAUCAUAUAAGACGAGAAGACCCUAUGGAGCUUUAAACUAAGAAGCAAUUGCCCUCAUACCUUUGAAAUUCCAGAAAACUAAUGAGUACAAGGCACUGUGACUUCCAGUUUUAGGUUGGGGUGACCACGGAGUAAAAACUAACCUCCGCACUGAAUAGGGGCCUUCCCUAAACUAAGGGCCACAACCCUAAGAAUCAAUACAUUGACAGCAAUUGACCCAAAAAUUUGAUCAAUGAAC
rnacentral:rRNA from 1 species